ACACAUGCAAGUCGAACGAUGACUCUCUAGCUUGCUAGAGAAGAUUAGUGGCGGACGGGUGAGUAACAUUUAGGAAUCUGCCUAGUAGUGGGGGAUAGCUCGGGGAAACUCGAAUUAAUACCGCAUACGACCUACGGGUGAAAGGGGGCGCAAGCUCUUGCUAUUAGAUGAGCCUAAAUCAGAUUAGCUAGUUGGUGGGGUAAAGGCCCACCAAGGCGACGAUCUGUAACUGGUCUGAGAGGAUGAUCAGUCACACCGGAACUGAGACACGGUCCGGACUCCUACGGGAGGCAGCAGUGGGGAAUAUUGGACAAUGGGGGCAACCCUGAUCCAGCCAUGCCGCGUGUGUGAAGAAGGCCUUUUGGUUGUAAAGCACUUUAAGCAGGGAGGAGAGGCUAAUGGUUAAUACCCAUUAGAUUAGACGUUACCUGCAGAAUAAGCACCGGCUAACUCUGUGCCAGCAGCCGCGGUAAUACAGAGGGUGCGAGCGUUAAUCGGAAUUACUGGGCGUAAAGCGAGUGUAGGUGGCUCAUUAAGUCACAUGUGAAAUCCCCGGGCUUAACCUGGGAACUGCAUGUGAUACUGGUGGUGCUAGAAUAUGUGAGAGGGAAGUAGAAUUCCAGGUGUAGCGGUGAAAUGCGUAGAGAUCUGGAGGAAUACCGAUGGCGAAGGCAGCUUCCUGGCAUAAUAUUGACACUGAGAUUCGAAAGCGUGGGUAGCAAACAGGAUUAGAUACCCUGGUAGUCCACGCCGUAAACGAUGUCUACUAGCCGUUGGGGUCCUUGAGACUUUAGUGGCGCAGUUAACGCGAUAAGUAGACCGCCUGGGGAGUACGGCCGCAAGGUUAAAACUCAAAUGAAUUGACGGGGGCCCGCACAAGCGGUGGAGCAUGUGGUUUAAUUCGAUGCAACGCGAAGAACCUUACCUGGUCUUGACAUAGUGAGAAUCCUGCAGAGAUGCGGGAGUGCCUUCGGGAAUUCACAUACAGGUGCUGCAUGGCUGUCGUCAGCUCGUGUCGUGAGAUGUUGGGUUAAGUCCCGCAACGAGCGCAACCCUUUUCCUUAUUUGCCAGCGGGUUAAGCCGGGAACUUUAAGGAUACUGCCAGUGACAAACUGGAGGAAGGCGGGGACGACGUCAAGUCAUCAUGGCCCUUACGACCAGGGCUACACACGUGCUACAAUGGUAGGUACAGAGGGUUGCUACACAGCGAUGUGAUGCUAAUCUCAAAAAGCCUAUCGUAGUCCGGAUUGGAGUCUGCAACUCGACUCCAUGAAGUCGGAAUCGCUAGUAAUCGCAGAUCAGAAUGCUGCGGUGAAUACGUUCCCGGGCCUUGUACACACCGCCCGUCACACCAUGGGAGUCUAUUGCACCAGAAGUAGGUAGCCUAACGAAAGAGGG
rnacentral:rRNA from 1 species